rnacentral:tRNA from 3 species
GCGGAAUUGAUGGAAUUGGCAGACAUGCAAGAUUUAGGUUCUUGUGCCGAGAGGCGUAUGGGUUCAAGUCCCAUAUUCCGCA